AUCGAAAGGCCCAAUUCUGAGAAAAUAAGCUUCAGACAUGUCCAUAGAACUUCAGUACUCUCUUACAAGCAAUCAUUCCUGAAAUCGAUUGGUGGUACAUGAUGUGAAUCUCUCCGAAUACUGGAUCAAUAAAGGUCACAUUUAUUACACA